CAGUCUCAGUUCGGAUUGAAGGCUGAAAUUCGCCUUCAUGAAGCCGGAAUUGCUAGUAAUGGCAGGUCAGCAUACUGCCGUGAAUACGUUCCCGGGCCUUGUACACACCGCCCGUCACACCAUGAGAGUUGGGAAUACCCGAAGCCUGUGAGCUAACUUUUAGAGGCAGCAGUCGAAGGUAGAAUCAAUGAUUGGGGUGAAGUCGUAACAAGGUAGC
rnacentral:rRNA from 1 species